rnacentral:lncRNA from 1 species
CCAGUCCAACCCAGUCCAUCACCUGGAGGCUGGAGAACCACGAGGCUGUUGCCUGUUCGUCCCCCUCUUCUGAGAGGUCCAGGUCACCUGCUCUGGGAGAAGCCAGUUGCCAUGUUGUAAGGACACUCAAGCAGCCCAUGGAAUGACUCACAUGCUGAAGAACUGAGCCCUCCCUCCUUCCAACAGCCAGGGAGGAACUAGGGCUUCUUGCCAAUAACCAUGUGAAGAAGCUUGGAAAUGGAUUCUCCCCCAAAUGAGUCUUCAGAUUACUGUAGACUAACAUCUUGACUGCAACCUCUAGAAAGACCCUGAGCCAGGAUCACCAAGCUCACAGAAGCUAAGAGUUAAUAAAUGUUUGAAUUAA